UUCUUGAAAAUUAAAAGAGUUGGCGGUAUUUUAGUCUAUUCAGAGGAACCUGUUCUAUAAUUGAUAAUCCACGAUUUUAUUUACUUAUUUUAAGUUUACAUAUCGCCGUAGGUUGAAUAUUUUAAUAGAAUUAAAUAUUCAAAAUUUAAAAUUAAAAAAACUCAGGUCAAGGUGUAGCGUUAUAAAUAAGGAGAAAUGGGUUACAAUAAAUUUAUUUAUAUGGAUAAAUUUAUAUAUAAAAAUUUUGAAAUUGGAUUUGAAUGUAAUAUUUUUAGAAAUUUUAAAUAUGAUUUAAGCUCUAAAAUAUGUACAUAUCGCCCGUCACUUUCAUAUAAAAUGAAAUAAGUCGUAACAAAGUAGAUGUACUGGAAAGUGUUUCUAGAAAUUCAAAUUAAAGCUUUAGUUAGAAGCAUUUUAUUUACAUUAAAAAGAUUAUUAUUAUAAAUAUAAUUUGAAAUUUUUAUAUUAUUAAAUUUAUUAAUUAUUACUUAUAUUUAUUAUGAAUAAAUAAAAUUUUAUUAAUUUAUAUGAAAAAUUUUAUUAUAAUUAUAGUUAAUUAGUAUUGUAUAUGAAAUAUUWAAAUUAUUUAAAAGAAAAAUUUAAUUUUUGUANNNNNNNNNNNNNCAGGGUUUAUUUAAAAAAUAUUAAUUAUUUAAGUUUCUCGAAUUUAAAAGAGUUAUAAAUAUAUUUUUUUAUUGUUGAAUAAAUAUUAUAAAUAUAUUUAUAGAAGUGAAAUGCUAAUCGAUUUUAAAUAUAUCUAGUUUUUUAAGAAAAAAAUUUAAUUUUAUUUUUAUUUUAUUAUAAAUUUUUUUAUUUAAAUUUAUAAUAAUAAAAUUAUAUAAUUUAAGGGAUAAGCUUUAAGUUAUAAUAAUAUAAUUUAUAUUAAAAUAAAAUUAAUAAGUAAAAUUAAAAGUUUUUAUCUUUUGUAGUGUUUUAUAGCUAUUUAAUUCUUUAUUUAAGAUUUAUAUAUAAAUUUAUUUUUUUUAUUAAAAUAAAAUUUAAAAUUAAAAAUAAUUUUAAUUAAUGAUAAAAUUAGUAUAAAUAUAUUUAUUUAAUUAUUAUUUAUUAAAGAUUAAAUAAAGGAAUUCGGCAAGAUUAAUUUUUCACCUGUUUAUUAAAAACAUGUCCUUAUUUGAUAUUAAUAUAAGGUUUAACCUGCCCUAUGAAUAUUAAAUGGCCGCAGUAUUUUGACUGUGCAAAGGUAGCAUAAUCAUUAGUUUCUUAAUUAGAAGCUUGUAUGAAAGGUUGGAUGAAAAAAUAACUGUCUCUAUUUAAAUUUAUUAGAAUUUUAUUUUUAAGUUAAAAAGCUUAAAUAUUUAUAAAAGACGAGAAGACCCUAUAGAGUUUUAUACUUAAAUUUUUUAUAAUUUUUAGAAUUUAA
rnacentral:rRNA from 1 species